GAUGAACGCUGGCGGCGUGCCUAAUACAUGCAAGUCGAGCGAACGGACGAGAAGCUUGCUUCUCUGAUGUUAGCGGCGGACGGGUGAGUAACACGUGGAUAACCUACCUAUAAGACUGGGAUAACUUCGGGAAACCGGAGCUAAUACCGGAUGAUAUUUUGAACCGCAUGGUUCAAAAGUGAAAGACGGUCUUGCUGUCACUUAUAGAUGGAUGCGCGCUGCAUUAGCUAGUUGGUAAGGUAACGGCUUACCAAGGCAACGAUGCAUAGCCGACCUGAGAGGGUGAUCGGCCACACUGGAACUGAGACACGGUCCAGACUCCUACGGGAGGCAGCAGUAGGGAAUCUUCCGCAAUGGGCGAAAGCCUGACGGAGCAACGCCGCGUGAGUGAUGAAGGUCUUCGGAUCGUAAAACUCUGUUAUUAGGGAAGAACAUAUGUGUAAGUAACUGUGCACAUCUUGACGGUACCUAGUCAGAAAGCCACGGCUAACUACGUGCCAGCAGCCGCGGUAAUACGUAGGUGGCAAGCGUUAUCCGGAAUUAUUGGGCGUAAAGCGCGCGUAGGCGGUUUUUUAAGUCUGAUGUGAAAGCCCACGGCUCAACCGUGGAGGGUCAUUGGAAACUGGAAAACUUGAGUGCAGAAGAGGAAAGUGGAAUUCCAUGUGUAGCGGUGAAAUGCGCAGAGAUAUGGAGGAACACCAGUGGCGAAGGCGACUUUCUGGUCUGUAACUGACGCUGGUGUGCGAAAGCGUGGGGAUCAAACAGGAUUAGAUACCCUGGUAGUCCACGCCGUAAACGAUGAGUGCUAAGUGUUAGGGGGUUUCCGCCCCUUAGUGCUGCAGCUAACGCAUUAAGCACUCCGCCUGGGGAGUACGACCGCAAGGUUGAAACUCAAAGGAAUUGACGGGGACCCGCACAAGCGGUGGAGCAUGUGGUUUAAUUCGAAGCAACGCGAAGAACCUUACCAAAUCUUGACAUCCUUUGACAACUCUAGAGAUAGAGCCUUCCCCUUCGGGGGACAAAGUGACAGGUGGUGCAUGGUUGUCGUCAGCUCGUGUCGUGAGAUGUUGGGUUAAGUCCCGCAACGAGCGCAACCCUUAAGCUUAGUUGCCAUCAUUAAGUUGGGCACUCUAAGUUGACUGCCGGUGACAAACCGGAGGAAGGUGGGGAUGACGUCAAAUCAUCAUGCCCCUUAUGAUUUGGGCUACACACGUGCUACAAUGGACAAUACAAAGGGCAGCGAAACCGCGAGGUCAAGCAAAUCCCAUAAAGUUGUUCUCAGUUCGGAUUGUAGUCUGCAACUCGACUACAUGAAGCUGGAAUCGCUAGUAAUCGUAGAUCAGCAUGCUACGGUGAAUACGUUCCCGGGUCU
rnacentral:rRNA from 1 species